UUUUGAGAUGUGCUUCCAAGGCCCUAUUCCAUGAGGUGAGUUGCUAAGUCUAGUACUUAUCCUAUUUUUACUUGUUUAUCAUUAUUAAAUUUGAAGUAUAUAGGACUUGUUGCUAGUAAGAGUUUAUUGUUAGAAGUGUAAAUAUAGUAGAACUCUAAUCCAAAGAGUAUUAGUAGUAGGUUAGGUUAUGUGUAUUAUAUAUAGGGCUCAUUGUAUCAUGUUUAAUAUCAAUUAUAUAUUUUUCUCCCGUGCUUUCUCGCAUGGUAUCAGAGCUACAGUGAGAAUAUUAUAGUUGUGCGUCAUUCCAGCAACUUUCGGGAAGAAAGACCUCGUCGCCGUGCAAUUUACCGGCGACUUAAGAGGCUGUCUGUAACUAAACCACCUUUUUGUUGGUGUUGUGCAAAAUCCGAGACCACCACGAGGUUCGGAAGAGAAUUCCGACCAACCCCAGAAAAAAUCACCGGAAAAGCUCCAGUCACGCGCCCCCACGUGCCGACAAGACCCUCGGCGCGUCAGCCCACGCGCCGGCGCGUGAGGGCCCUUCCGGCUACUUUUUCAGUUUGCUCCAGAAGGACAGUUUGGUCGGCCUUCAAUUCCGACCCUACCCAUACUN
rnacentral:lncRNA from 1 species